rnacentral:rRNA from 1 species
CCUACGGGAGGCAGCAGUGGGGAAUAUUGCACAAUGGGCGAAAUCCUGAUGCAGCAACGCCGCGUGAGCGAUGAAGGCCUUCGGGUCGUAAAGCUCUGUCCUCAAGGAAGAUAAUGACGGUACUUGAGGAGGAAGCCGCGGCUAACUACGUGCCCGCAGCCGCGGUAAUACGUCGGGGGCUAGCGUUAUCCGGAAUUACUGGGCGUAAAGGGUGCGUAGGUGGUUUCUUAAGUCAGAGGUGAAAGGCUACGGCUCAACCGUAGUAAGCCUUUGAAACUGGGAAACUUGAGUGCAGGAGAGGAGAGUGGAAUGCGUGGUGUAGCGGUGAAAUGCGUAGAGAUUAGGCAGAACACCAGUUGCGAAGGCGGCUCUCUGGACUGUAACUGACACUGAGGCACGAAAGCGUGGGGAGCGAACAGGAUUAGAUACCCGGGUAGUC